CGAAUUGACAAUUUUUCUAAUGAGAAUCAAAAGUAAAUUAACUGUUAAUUGUUUUUCUAAAUUUAAUUGUGAUCUUUUUAUAUUCAUUUUACUUAAUUUCCAUUCUCUUUUGCAUUCUGAUUAACUUGUAAUUCAUGGAAAUUAACUAAACGAUUACCAUAUUAAUCAUCUUCUAAACUGAAGAUUAGUUUUCUGUUUGUUGUAUUAAUAUAAUUUUCUCUAUAUUUUGAUUACCCCUUUAAUCAGUGAUAUUAUUUUAUUUUUUUCUUCAUUUUCUACUAAUUCUUUGUGUAUACAAUAUUUAGAUUGUUGUUAAAUUGUUACCUCACGGCGUAACUAAUCAGCUCAUCACACACCCACAAAACAAAAGACAGUAAUAAUUAUAUCUACUACUUUUGCAACUACUUAAAGUAAACCACAACAAAUAACUUGAUUAGAGAGUUAAAUUAUCAUCUACCUUGGUGAAUUGUUGAACAAUUUAACUGUUAUCCAUUCAAAUGAUCAACUUAUUUUCAUCCUCAUCAUAAUUACUACAUCUUUUCAUGUUUCUUUCAAUCGACUGUACAAUUGAGAGUAAUAAUAUACUUCCAUCAAUUUCAUCAACAUUAUCAACAGAAAUAUAAUCAAAAUGGUUCUCCAACUAAAUUCCACUUUUCUUUCAAUGUAAAUCGUCAUUCUUAACCUGAUAACUAACGGUAAUAAUUAACUAAUCAUCUUUAAUCAGCGUCUCACUUAAUUAGCCUUUGAUAUUCAUCGUUAUUCAUUAAAUUAUCGGACCAAAGGUUUACAGUUAAUUACUUACAGUUUGGAAACGGACACCUCGUCGGUAACCAUAUUGUGGUCUGGAUCGAGAUCGAUAUGUUAAGGAACUUGAUCUUCGGCCUGGUGAAGGUGGAUAACGAUUAUCAUAAUAAGCUCCUUGAGCUUCAAUUUCAUUCACAAUUAAACCUGUUGGAAAAGACAAUGACAAUUAGUUAAUUUCUACAACAAUUAAGAGUAAAUCUUUUAACCUAAUACUCUGGUAACCCUUUAACCUGUCAACGAUAUGAACUACUUUGGAUAUUAAUCACGAUCAAUAUAAUGACGAUUUUUUAAUUAAUCUGAUGAAAUAAUUAAUCUAUCAAAUUUUAAUCUGAUUGUUUAUGAGAAAAUUGAAACAAUUGAUAGAUUUGAUUACUCACCUAAAAUAAUAAGGAAUCCAAAUGUAAUUAUCCUCAUGGUUAUGGAAAAUAAGCUCGAUAUGAACAAUUAAAAUUGAACGAAUUGAUUAUUGAUGGAUUAUGGCGAUGAUUAAGAUAAUCACAAUUAAUAUUCCGUUUAACAAUUAACAGUAAUUAUCAUUUACCUUGAUUCUAAUAGAUGAUGAUUGUCAUUGGAUUAAUCAAGAUGAUUAUUGAUUCUCUCUCUCUCUCGUCAUCAUUGGAGUUUAGAACUUUAAUUAUAAUGGGUUGAAAUAAUUCGAAGGUCCAUUUGGUGGCGAUCUGAUUAAUCCAAUUAGAGAAAACAAUGUUUCCUCCAAUGAUGUUGAUGAUCUCACAAUCUAAAUCUAAAUAUUACAAUUUAUUAAUUUUCCACGAAUUCACUGAAAUUAACUGAUUGUAUUUGCUAACAAUGAUUAUCUUGUAUUGUUGCAGUUAAGUACAACUAUCAUCAUAAUCGUCAUCAUCAUCAUCACAACAUCAUCUUCAUCAUGGUCAAUUAUUAUCAACAAUUAAUUUCACUUAUCAUCAUCAUCAUUUCAAUGGCCGUGAGAUAUUUCAUCAUCAAUUAACUGUAACAAUAACAACAACAAUCUGAUUACAACAAUUUGACUGAUUUACUUAUUUGUCACAAUCUAUUCCUGGACAGAAUGAUUAACUUAAUUACAAUCUAACAACAUCCUUACGUGUGUUUGUUUAGUGUCAAAAAUUAGUUACAAUUAGUUUUAAUUGGAGUCACUGUUAAAUUAAUCAUUCUGUUAAUAUCUCAUCAACUUUUACUUUUAAUUUACCAGAAAAUUGUUAAUCACUUUUGAUGAUGAUGAUAAAACUCAUCUCUUUCCUUACCUAAUUAUUUGUAUUAUAAUUAACUAAUUUUGAUGAAUAUUA